UUUUAUAUACUAUACUAAAAAGAAGGAAGUGGACUAUGUUCCCAAACCCUCAAUUCGUCCCUUGCGCGCGCCCCUGCUCCGUUCCGCCGGCCCGUGCGCUGGCCGGCUUUGCCGCUCCUCAGUGAUCGACUAUGUUCAACUUCCCGAUAACACCGGAACGGAGCUCCCUGCAGUAGCGCCCAUGGCGCGGCGGCAGGCGGCGGCGAGGGCGCCGUUCUGACACCCAGAACCGCUCUCGGGCGGCCAACUGCAAGUCCAGCACCACACGCACACCCUCGCCCCUGAACGCAACUCAAACUGCAAGAAACACGGCCCUAACGUUUGCGGCGGCGCUUGGGUGAAGCGCAUCAGCCGGAUUCCGGCGAGGACAGUGGCUGGGGCGACUUGGGGAUUGAAGAAUGGGUUGCUGGGGCUCUUGUGCUGCUCUGGUUGAGAGGAAUCGGUUGGGGAGGGUUGGACGGUGGCGGGAGGUCGCCGGAGGCGAGGAGAUGGCCGGCGGACAGAGGAAUGGCGAAGCUCAGUUCGGCUUUAUUUGUUCGGCUCUGCUCUUUCCUUUCCUUCUCUCUGAACCUGAUUCUUGUACUUCAUUUUUCUCUAAAUCUUGCGUGUUAACUUCAAAAACGUCCAACGAAAAGAUUGUAGGGGACACUUUCUUCUACAAUUUUGAUUACAUACACUUUCUGUAAUUCAGCCUGUAUCAUACUUAAAUAUUGCUCUGAACCUUGCUGUAUACAUCGGGUUCAGCCUAAAUUUAUCUGAACCCGAGUUUUGCAGUCCACUUAUCUCCAAAAUUUACUACUAAAUAUUGAAAUCUACCAAAAGAGAAAUUGUAUCCCUAACACUCCUCUAAAAGUUUUGUUUCAGGCACAUUUUCUGAUUCAACCCCUAAACCCUCUAAAAGUUUUGUUUCAAGCACAUUUGCUGAUUCAACCUCUAAACCCUCCAAAAACAGCUUUGAACAGGUCUGCAUAAAACCUAUUGCUGGCGCCCUAGCUUUUUUUUAAAUUAGCCCCUGCGGAAUAAAGAACUGUGGAAUAAUUUUGUGAGAUCUGCAUAAACCCCCUGUAUAUAUUAAAGUUCGUUACCGGCCCCUGAACCAUCAUUGCAUUUUUAGCGUGCACGCACUGGAACAUUGCAAUUGACCUUUUACGUUGAGAUGGCAAUUCAUAAUAAUUUAAUUCUGGUCAUCUUCGGUGCCUAUGCUGAUUCUUUUUUACUGUUUUGAAUAGCGUAAAGUAGAAUUACAACAUCAUUACAACUACGAUAAAAAUGUUCAGCACUUUUAUAUGUAAUGCAUGCAUUUCUUGUAUACUCGUAGAUUAGUUAGCAAAAAGUAUUGAAGCCAGUCUACCAUUGCCCAGUGAAGCAAUUUCGAUUGGAUUAAAUUUGGUUAGUCGUGGGGACAUUUGGCCCUCAGUUUGGAUAUAUUUUGUGAUAUUUGACACUCUGUUUACGGUUUGCCCAAACCCUGUUUCUUUUCGAAUAUGAGUUCAGGCAAGGUGAAAUGGUGUGCCAAGGGAACCAUUCGGUGAUUUGACGAACACACCCUGCGUCGACUCAAAAGAGCUUAAGCGGCAGAGGGACCGAGCAUUGUCUGCUUUGUUAACGGAAGAGCAGAAAAAUGAAUGUAACAAGAGGCAUCGUGAAGCUUACACGAGGAAAAAGGGGAUUACCGGAGAGAAUGAAUCUAUUCGUGCUGAAACUAAGCGUCAAUAAAACGAAGUCAGCUUAUUCAGGAGUCCUCUGUACUUGAAAGCAUGGUUCAGAGUUCCAUGAGUGCGAUGUGGAAAUCCUGGGAAAGAAGAACAAGGAAA